rnacentral:rRNA from 1 species
GACGAACCGUGCGAACGUUGUUCGGAAUCACUGGGCUUAAAGGGCGCGUAGGCGGGUUCUCAAGUCUGGAGUGAAAGCCCGCGGCUCAACCGCGGAAGCGCUUCGGAUACUGGGGGCCUCGAGGGGGGUAGGGGCGUGCGGAACUUCCGGUGGAGCGGUGAAAUGCGUUGAUAUCGGAAGGAACGCCGGUGGCGAAAGCGGCGUGCUGGACCUCUUCUGACGCUGAGGCGCGAAAGCUAGGGGAGCGAACGGG